rnacentral:rRNA from 1 species
CUCCGGUUGAUCCCGCCGGACCUGACUGCUAUCGGAUUGGUACUAAGCCAUGCGAGUCAUUGUAGCAAUACAAGGCGGACGGCUCAGUAACACGUAGUCAACCUAACUCGUGGACGUGGAUAACCUCGGGAAACUGAGAAUAAACCACGAUAGAUCAUAGUGCCUGGAAUGGCUUAUGGUCCAAACAGUUUACUGCCAUGGGAUGGGACUGCGGCCUAUCAGCUUGUUGGUGAGGUAAUGGCCCACCAAGGCGAUUACAGGUACGGGCUCUGAGAGGAGAAGCCCGGAGAUGGGUACUGAGACACGGACCCAGGCCCUAUGGGGCGCAGCAGGCGAGAAACCUUAGCAAUGUGCGAAAGCACGACUGGGUCAGUCCGAGUGAUUCCUGAUAAAGGAGUCUUUUGCUUGUCCUAAAAGCACAGGUGAAUAAGGGGUGGGCAAGUCUGGUGUCAGCCGCCGCGGUAAUACCAGCACCUCGAGUGGUCAGGACGUUUAUUGGGCCUAAAGCAUCCGUAGCCGGCUUUGCAAGUCUUCGGUUAAAUCCACCUGCUCAACAGAUGGGCUGCUGGAGAUACUACAAAGCUAGGGAGUGGGAGAGGCAGACGGUAUUCAGUGGGUAGGGGUAAAAUCCUCUGAUCCAUUGAGGACCACCAGUGGCGAAGGCGGUCUGCCAGAACACGUUCGACGGUGAGGGAUGAAAGCUGGGGGAGCAAACCGGAUUAGAUACCCGGGUAGUCCCAGCUGUAAACGAUGCAAACUCGGUGAUGCAUUGGCUUAUGGCCAAUGCAGUGCCGCAGGGAAGCCGUUAAGUUUGCCGCCCGGGAAGUACGGACGCAAGUCUGAAACUUAAAGGAAUUGGCGGGGGAGCA